UAGGCCUAUAGCUAUUGCUGCUUAAUGCUUAUUUAUGAAAAUCCAUGGUUAAAAUUAUUUUUUAGUAUGCAGGCACAUAACUAAAACUCUGAGGUUUGUUACAAACCAAACCGUUAGAACAUCCGUUUAAAAUUAAGCAAUUUAUGGUUAUUUAAAUGCUACAUGCACCGUAGACUGUAAUGUUAUGAAUGGGCGAGUUGCCUGAAGCAAGAUGGCCGCCACGCGCCGACGUCGGAUCGGUAGGUUUCGACUGCGCACGUGCGACACGUAGUACACGCCCCCACCACUGAGCCACUUCCGGUUGUAGCUCACCACAGCUGUGUUUUGCCAAACUUUUCAUGAGAGGAGUACGCCGACAGCGAGUUUGUUUUCCGAGUCAAGCGAGGGAAAAUAAGAAAAACUCUGAGAAGAGGUCGACGAGUGGCGAGCUAGUGCUCAGAAUAUCAAAGUGUACAGUCAACGCGCUCCGCUCCAGGUAUGUUGUGGACCUUUGUGUCGUUUGUCAGUGUUUAUAUUUUGGCGCCGGCAUAAAGUAGGUGGCUUAUGGGUCAUGUAGGCAGUAACGCGUCAAGAGUGGGUCUGUUUUGUUGGUGUGCAUCGCAGCAGUUGUGUGUGCAGCAGUUUUGAAUGAAGUAUGUCUACAGGUCAGAAUUACAUACUAUGGGAUACUUAAUAGUAAAUUUGGGUCAUGUUUUUGUCUGUGAUUGUAUCCUGACUAUUAGCUAAACUAAUUAAUGUGUUUUUGCCACAUAAACAUGAGGUUUUCUACCUUUUUUUUUAAAUAAGAAAAAACAUUUCCUUUGCUGAAUGUUCCAAACAUAGACUGUAUAUGGUUCUAACCUGUGCAAAGUUUGUUAUGCUGGCUAUUAAACUGAUCAAAUAAAUCACAAUUUAAGCUGAUAAUAGUUUAUAAAAACAAUAAUGAUAUUAAGUCCUAAAUCUGUUUUACUUAUUCAACUGUUUGAUUCUUAGGUUAGUUUGGUCAAAAUAGAUAUUUGACUUAAAAUAGACAAUAUUUAAAGUUUUUUAAGUAUACUCGAGAAAGAUCAAAGGAGAGCGAUCCAGAUGGUAAAAGUGUGUAACUGUAAAAAUCCUUAAAAGCACCUGUUCAUAUAUGAACACAAGUAGACAAACAGUCCUUGUCUCUCAUUUUGUACUAAUCUUUUUAAACAUUUUUUAGCUGUAAUCCAGCUACAGUGAAUUUUCAGUGGCUGAAGUUGCAUUUUUAAACUUUAUGUUAACUCAAUGGAAAACACCCUUAUGAGUUUAGUCUGUGGAAAUAUAGAUAUACACAGCUGGUUCCACACACAAUUUUUCAUAGAUAUUCAUCAUUACUGAACUGAAAAACCGCUGACCUGAGAGUGUGCCUAAAUAAAAAGUUUUAAAAUAACCAGAGAGCUGUCUCUCUGUUAAAGUUGUUUAAAGUUGUAUUUUCACUCUUGCAGAUCUGUGGGCAUGAUGGACGUCACGCUGGAAGAAGAAGGACAGAGCGGUCAUCUUCCCUGAGCUGAAGCUCUAAGGUUAGAGGAUUUUCUUUGUACCACAGCUGCAGUUUCAUGUUUCAGCGCUGAGAUUUAACAGCUGAGAGUUGAGCUGAUUUUUAGGCUCCUUUGGUUCAAGUUUAUCUAUAGAGACAAUUAUCUGACUCUGUUACUCACAGAAACCUCUCUGCAGCCUCAGUUGUAGCACAAUGAAGGUUUCAACAUUAUCUAAAGGAGCCAAAGCUCUGUGCUUAUGUUUAUGAAUGUUAGAUAAAUUCUCUUUAGCUCCUCCAGGCUGAAAAAAAGGCUGUUUGAUUGUAUUAAAGAUGUAAUUAGCACAGUUUAACAGACAUUAAAGUGACAUUACUCUGUAUUUCAACACAGUAGAGUUAAAAAGUGGAGAGAAGCUGAAAACUAGAAAUCAGGUCUCAAAUGGCAGAUUUAUCAUUUUUAAUGUUUUUGUUUUUCAUUUAAUGAAGUAAUAGAAACAAAAAUACCUGAAACAAAAUUGCUAAACUUGAGUGAACUUUGUUCAGCUGUGGUAUUAUGACAACUCAACUUAACUUUAUUUGUAAAGCACUUUAAAAUAUUUUACUGUACCAAAGUGCUGUACAUAAACAGACAAAACAAUGCAGAUGUAAAAAAAACAAUCAAAAAACAAUUAAAACAAUGGAUAAAUCAAAAGCAGAAUUAAAAAGUAAAAUGUAGUUUCAAUGUUUUGAAAAACUAAUUUAAAAACAUAGAAACAAAUAACUAAAAACAAACCAUAAAACACUAAAACAGGAGCCGAGUCUCAUGCAGGGUUAAAAGCCAAUGAAUAAAAAUGGGUUUUAAAAAUGGACAGUGUGGGGGCUUGUUUGAUUUGAAGUGGUAGCUCAUGGGGCCGCAACAGUAAAAGAUUUAUCCCCUCUGAGCUUCAGUUUGGACCUCAGUACCUCCAGGAGCAGCUGAUCAGCUGACCUGAGGCACCGAGCAGGGGUGUAGGGGUGGAGAAGCUCAGAGAGGUAAGAUGGAGUCAGAUCAUUUAAAGAUUGAAAAACAAAUAAAAGAAUCUUACUAACUGGAGAAGUGAGAGGGAGGACUGGCUGACUCCAAAGUAAAGUGCGUUACAGUAAUCCAGCCGAGAUGUAACAAAGGCAUGGAUUACUGUUUCAAAGUGCUUACAUGCAAGCAUGCUAGCAAGCUGCCUAAUAUGAUGAAAGCUAGAUUUCACAACUGAGCUAAUUUGCAUGUCAAAUUUAAAAUCACUGGCUUUAAAUAGUCUGCUAAAAUACCCAGGUCUACAGGAGGGGAUUCACAAGGGCCACUGGGACCAAAGACAAGAUUUUUUUUUUAAUUAAAAUAAAAAUAAAAUAAGACAGGGGAUAAUAAAAUAAAAAGGGAACAAAAAUCAAAGUUCUGUCUAAAGCCAUUAAUGAAAGUCAUAUAUUUAUGUUAACAUGAUCCAGUGAUUUGCUUUACAUGAUUAUUAAAUAAUAAAGGAACUAGAGAAAUACAGAGUUGUGUGAUACACUUGAAAAAAUAUGUAAAUAUAAAUAAUCCAUUUAAUAGAUAAAUAAAAAACCACAGCAAUUAUCUGAAAAUACCAUCCAUUCACCUGAUUUUCAAGAAUAUGUUUUAUUCUGUUUCAAAAGCAGCAUUUACAGGAAUAUCAACAUUCAACAGAACUGAAACAAGACUGCACAUGAUAGAAGAUUAAAACAUGUCUGAAGUGAUGAGUACAAAUAGAUGUCAGAUAUGCUUCACCUUAAAAACCACAACUUUCUCUUGUUUGCUCCACCCACAAUUUUUCAUAGAUAUUCAUCAUGGAAAAGUCCUGAAAAAUAGAUAUUUUUCAGGACUCUACACCGGACUGUCCCUGGAGUCGGGUGGACCACCAUCUUCAUGUGGCGGCCUUCCUCCAUCGGCGUCCCGUUCAGGUAGAGGCGUUCAGCUGCUCCUGUGAUGCUGUUCAGAGUCUGAUUAUCAGUCCAUCUUUUCACUGACUGAUCAGAGACUGAGAGUGAAGCUGAACUACCUCAUUGAUAACUCCUUAGGUGUCUCUAGUAAUUAAUCUUUAACAUUUAACAAUUUUUUUUAUUAAUGAAUAAAGAGGAGUCUCAAUUUAUCUCCACAGCUUCACUCUCAGUCUCUGAUCAGUCAGUGAAAAGACAUGGGGGGAGAUUUGUCUCAAAGUUAUGCACAAAUAUGUAUCCACAAUUUCCACAUGUGACUUUCAGAUCCACAAAUAUAUUUCCAUGAUUUUCACGUGUUUUUUAAAUUUGUGUUUGUGCAUUUAUCAUGAUUCAUCAUUCGUAAAUCAUCAAUUCUGCUAUUGAAUUGUUGAAAAAUGUGUUUGUGGAUAAACCGGCACGUGUGUUUAUUUUUGAGACAAAUAUCACAGUUUUGAAGACACACACAAGUUGAGGAUUUUCACCUGAGGAGAACACUGCCUCUCCCAUCCACUGGGCAGCAGUGUUUCUCCCUCUGUUGAGAGCAUAGACUGUGAAUAAGAUAGUUGACAGCUAUCCACCUUAGAAGUGGGGAGAAGUUUCUCUGCUUCUAUAGUGGAUAGCUGUAAAUAAUCCCUUUCAUAGUCUAUGCCCUUAACAGAGAGACAGAGAGCUAUUUACACAAAUGUUGUAAAGUUUAACCCAAAAUAAACUCAAAUUCUGAUGAUUUAUUUGUUGUAUUUUAUGGUACAGGUGCUCGCAGUUGGACUCGACAUAUUGGAAGAAGAGGAGGAUCAUCAAACAGAGCAGCGGAUACUCUCAGGUGAUGUUAUCAUCUGUGUUUUUAAAGUUCAUCAGUGUUUAAGUCACUGGAAAAUUAAUCAUUGCGUUGUAGAUGAGACAUGACUUUAAGAAAACGUAGAGCUUGAAACAUCAGGGUUAUGAUUAAAUUAAUUUAUUCACCAAAAAUCACAAAUCGGCUGAUAUUAAUGUUUUUUUUUUGUUUUGUUUAAUUUGCUGCAUGAAAAAGAACAAGCAGAAGUAUGAUAAAAUUUUCUGUAAAUGUUUCUGUAAAUUAAAUCAGUCUAAGGUUUUUUGGUCAUGACUUUAAAGUUACGAUAUGACUAAAGCAGCUGCUUUUUCUUUUGUUGGGUUAAAAGUGACAAACUAAUUGUCUCUCUUCUUUUCUUUCAGGACCAACUGUGGAGUUUUUUCCUUUUGUGAAUUGUUUUCCUUUGUUCUUGUUGUUACUUAGCAUUUUUGGAGGAGUCUGACAGCUAAAACCCACAGAAUCUGGAAUGGCUGCACUCUUGAUCCAGCACGCGGAUCAAAUACACAAGCAUCAUAAUCAGUGUGCGUGAUUCUACAGAGUCGGUCCACUGUCCGGCUCCACUGCAGAUCGGCGGUUGGAUUAGAUACACAAGACUUCAAUUUUUGACACCGCAGCACAGCGCAGCACAAGCAGCAGCGGAAGUUGUAUGCGGUUACAGAGUAAAAUACCUGGUUAAUUUUCAAAAUAAAGUCAACACAUUGAACUGUUCUUCACUUAAUAAUAGUAGAAGCCAGGGUUGUGGGAUGUGGGUGUUUUAUAUAUACCGCUGUUUAUAUGCACUGAUCGGCAGAUCUCAUUCAAUGUCUCAUGGUGAAACACGCGAGUUCUCAUGAGACCUUGUCCAGUCUCGCGAGAAACAUCGGUUAUAUCGUGAGCGCUUCUCCUUUGCUUGCUGCAGCAGAUCAGAUCCGGUGGGCGCUGUAUGCUUGGGUAUUUGAUCCGCCUGCUGGUCUGGAGCGGAGUGGAACCGUUCUGGAUCUUGUGGAAUCCCCGGGUUACUGUGUGUUUAUUUAGUUGGAAUGUAGUUUAGUAAAGUUAGGUACAGGCAGUGAAGGUAGGAGUUUUAUUUUAUUUCUUUGAAACAAGAGAGAUCUUGAGCUUCCCUUUUAGGUACUUGCUUCACUCUCUGAUAGGUAGGUUGGAGAUUGAGCUGCCUAUAAAAGGAGAGCAGAAUUACUCCCAAGGGAGGAAGAUGUGCCCUUGUUUAAUCUCAUUUAAGACUCAAUUUGUUUGAUCUUGGGAGAAGCUUGUAGUUUUUAAUGGAAACUUUAUAUGUGGACUUGACUGUAAAUGAAAAAAUAUUCACUGCUAAGAAAACAGCAGUCUGUCAAGUUGUCUUCAUGGGGGGACCAACAAGUUCAUAAAUAAAAAACACACAGACACA
rnacentral:lncRNA from 1 species